rnacentral:sRNA from 1 species
GCAAACAAGAGGCUGCAGCCCGAGCUGCCCAGCUAUCCGGGUACCCAGCUACCCAUCGCUACCCGGGUACCCAGCUCCACUCGCAUGUGGCUGCCGGGCAAUAAAAAUGGACACACAGCAGAAACAACAUGGCGCUGGCAGAAGGCAACGGUCCGGGACACCGGCACAGAAGCACUCGCCAAUGUACGGGCAACCUGAUGCCGGCGCCUUCCCCCCUCCCACGCCUCAGGCCUCACCGGACACUGGACUAGGAAUAACAGCAUUUAUUCUUCCUUCUGGUUGUACUCUUUGUGUCUUAACUAUUUAUGAGGUCGAGUUGUUUGUGCAGUUUGAUUAUUUUGCUGGCAGGGCGGUAGGCGGAGCACCGGCGACCUGUGCCUCUUCAUAAUUCAACGGUCGGGCUGACAAUCCGGCCAGACGGAGUGCACACACAUUCAGAGGAACGCGCCGUUCAAGUGAGAUCGCAGUGAGCGCCCACGCAACGAGUUUUGUGCAGCGUGUAGGGGAUCACUCGAUGGGCUGUACACACGCACCACAGCUGAUUUGUUAUGGUUUUAAAAAGAACUUAAUGAAAAUCAAAGUAAAGGCCGAUCGGCCCUGUGCCCUGCGGGUCCUAUAUACCCUACAGACUCGCUACAGACUGUGCUUGGGAUCCGCUCGCUACUUUGGCCUAGAAUGGCUGGAGCAUUUCUUGUGGAUUCACAGUCAACGUUCAACGUACUGCAACAUGCAGCAGCCACCAUGAGUUGUAUUGCAUAGCUAAUCACAUCACUUACAGUUCCACACAUUAUAUUAGUGAAUGCUUUGUGUGAAUGUGUCUGACGUCUGCCUAAGUCUGAUGAACGUGAUUAUAUAGUGGAAAGAAUUAUUUGGCCCAGCCAUCUUAUGUGCAUAUUUACGUACACACUUAUAUAGGGAAUUCUUUACACUUUUGAAGGCUCUACGGAGAGAUGCAACUCAUAUACACACAUAUCUGCGACCUUUCCAGUCGCCUUCUCGUGCAGCUGCUAUCCACUACCUGCUCUGGGUAGGGGCCUUCCAAAGCUACAGGCAAACAAUUGCUGCAUUCCAGAAGUCACCGCUAAAACGCCGCAACGCUACAGGACCUGAGCGCUCCCAGUCGUUGCUUCGCUUCUACAAGCAGCACCAACGGCGACGCUACAUCUUGGAACACUUUCAGCGUUCCCUUCCAUUCGGUAUAGUACACUCCUUCACGUCUCUCAAUAUAUAUGGUAUGUUAUACUCGUGUCUUAAUGGAAAGGCGUACUUACAUAUUUGAUAGGUAUCAGUAUGUUUCUGAUGUGUACACUUUAUAACAACUCUCAUGUGUUCCAGGUUCCACGUGAAAAUCCCUACACAGUUUAAUCAGCUGCUAGGCACUGCAUAUUAAUAUUUAUGAGUAAUAUUGACGAAACAAUUCAGAAGUGACUGAUUUCUCAUCCGUGGGGCUGCCUUGACAGCGAUCUUAGUGAGAAUUGUUGACUUCUAGCGACUCAGCGACUUCUACUCUGAGCGCUUCUCGUCGGUGCGUUAAGCACCUGGUGGUCUCGCUACAUAUAUUGGUCUUCUCGACGGUCCAAUUAAAACACGGCAGGAGAACAACUACGAACUACGGUUGAACAUGGAAACGGCUAUUAGUUCGUUCAGCUUCGUAAGGGACUUCUCAGGGUUGCGCUCGCAAAUACAUUGGAACCAAACACGCUCAUCGUUUCACCAUCCAUAUUUAAAGCUCUACGGAUGGAACAACUCAGAGGGGAUAAAUGCACGUAUCAGCUACCAGGUUAUAUUUAACAUUUAAGUACUACCUCGUCAAUAUCUUUUCCUUGCAUCUAGUCUUCCAGCUAUAUAUGCUGUUAGUCUGUAACCGCUCCAUAAAGGGUCUGGCAUACCCAACAGACUUCGGAUCCUCUCGUUACGUAGACUACUGACUCGCUAUGCCGGUUAGCUGCACAGGCCAGGGGGGUGUCCUUUAAGCAUCAAGAGAAACGUGAGGCUACAGGAAUCUUCGCAUAGAUCGCAUACAGUCCAUCUGUAUCGAUGUCGCUUUCCUAGCUAUAGGCGAUCUCUGCAAUCUCUGAAUUGCUCAAUCUAAACGAAAUUUCCGAACACGAAAUAAAGGAAUAACCGAUUCCGGCUCCUCCCAGAGGACAUAGCAAUUAGCAUCGGCCUCCAGGAACUGCUUCUGCUCAGCGAGAUCCGAUUGUAGGUUCUUCUUCUAUCUCCUCUGCCUCUCCUUGCUCCACUGAAUACUGAUCAUCCUGUGCAGACGGACCUGGAAUUCGAGGGAACACUCUUAAAAGAAGAUCGAAACUCCUUCCUAAGUUGUGGCUUGGAAGGGACUGGAACAGGGUAUAAAUGACGUCAAAUGGAACAUUGUCAUUUGGUGCAUAGUGAGGACUUAAGUGCAAUUGCAGACACACACACAUCCGGAUGUAUCGAAGGAAUGGCAGUUCAUUGUGGCUGCUAGAAGAUGUUGGAUAUCAACGACGAAAGACAAGUAUCUAAGGGGUCAACGCGAGGAAGGGAAUACGCCUCAGGGCGGUUGAUGGGACUCUUACGGAACAUACUAUAUAACUCUUAAACGAAAAGCAGUCGUAAUUAAACUUAUACUUAAACGA